AUUUUUCAUUGCGGAGGAAAAGAAACCAACAGGGAUUACCUCAGUAACGGCGAGUGAAGCGGUAACAGCUCAAAUUUGAAAGCUAGCUCUUUUAGGGUUCGCAUUGUAAUUUGUAGAAGAUGCUUCGGGUGUGGCCCCGGUCUAAGUUCCUUGGAACAGGACGUCAUAGAGGGUGAGAAUCCCGUAUGUGACUGGGUGCUUUCGCUCAUGUGAAGCUCUUUCGACGAGUCGAGUUGUUUGGGAAUGCAGCUCAAAAUGGGUGGUAAAUUUCAUCUAAAGCUAAAUAUUGGCCAGAGACCGAUAGCGCACAAGUAGAGUGAUCGAAAGAUGAAAAGCACUUUGGAAAGAGAGUUAAACAGUACGUGAAAUUGUUGAAAGGGAAGCGCUUGCAACCAGACUUGCGCGCUGAUGAUCAUCCGGGCUUCUGCCCGGUGCACUCGUCUGCGCUCAGGCCAGCAUCGGUUUCGGUGGUGGGAUAAAGGCCUUGGGAAUGUAGCUCCUCUCGGGGAGUGUUAUAGCCCUCGGUGCAAUGCCGCCUACCGGGACCGAGGACCGCGCUCGGCUAGUAUGCUGC
rnacentral:rRNA from 1 species